AACCACUUCGGUGGCCAUCCGUAAAAAUUGGAACGAUACAGAGAAGAUUAGCAUAGCCCCUGCGCAAGGAUGACACGCAUAAGUCAUUAGAUUCACUCUCU
rnacentral:snRNA from 1 species